rnacentral:lncRNA from 1 species
CCUGACAACAUUAACACAACAAUACCUCAUCUUUUGGGAUUAUUAAAAUAGCCAAUAAAACAAAACUAUUCAAUAAUACCUAUGAACUAACUUCUAUACUUGUCAAGACAGAUUAUCUUUAUAUGAUGUGCUGCACAAUUGAAAGUAGAAAAUCACCCCAAAAAUAGGCUAUGCCUUCAAAAUUCAAAUUAGGUCUCCAUAGAAAAUACUAGACAAGUCUCCAAUUUCAGCCUGCUAACACACAAUCAGAAUUCAGCAAACCAUAGAGCCCCCUUGAGUUCAACAAAUUAAAGGAGGUGUUUUGGGGGAAAUUGUUCAAUAGGUCACCAAAACCGCAGACAAGUGUUGCUUGCUCUCUAGACCAUGACUCAACUAUAUGAUUGAUAAAUUUAGCUAAACAUGAUUCAGAGCAGCCAUUAGAGAGUAAGAUAGAGAUGGUGAAGGAAGUUGAAGGAAAAUCGUACCGGAUGCCGUCGGCAUCGACCGAUGAGGCGAUGAGAGUUCGAGAUCUUUGAGAGUCCGACUCUAAGAGAAUUCGAUCGAGAUCUGUUGACUGUUGAGAGUUGAGACUUCAGAGGACAGAGAUUGAGAAUUCGAUCAAGAUCUGUAGC